CCCAGCUCCUCCCCCUUCUUUAAAUUUUCGGCUUCUUCUCUUUCCCAAGCUCCGGUCUUUUGAGAACUCCCCCACUUCAAGAAUUCGAACCAGGUUAGAACUCCCCAAGCCCUUUAAAUCUUUCAUCCUCUCCUUCUUUAAACCCCUCAACUCCCUUAAAUCUAGGAGUAAGGCCAGCUAGGGUUCGAAAACCGGACAUUGGCCAUUCGGGUUUGCACACAGUUCAUCCCCCUCUUGAGUUCCAGGCAUGGCUAAAAUUCUUUUCAGUCUGUUGUCUGAACACUUGUAUACGGGAUGAUUCGAAGCUGAAAGCUUGAAUUUGGUCAUGACCGAGGCUCUGUCUUGUUUAACUUCGACUUUGGACAUGAUAUGAACCUUCGGUUUAAGAACUAGACUUGCAUGUUCUGUUUUGGGUACAGUCGAAGAUAUUCGGUUUGUUGAGAAUUGUUUGAGCUUGACUCUAGGUUGUGGAUCUGAAUUCAUUCGUGACCAAAUUCUUCUUCAUGGCUGAUGUUUACUGACAGCUUGUAUAUGACCGAAAAUUUUGUUGAGCUCUAUUCUUGAAUUCAUGCAUCGUUGAGGCGGAACUUUGGCUUGAACUCGAACUUGAAUAUGGCCGAGCUUUUGUAUUGUUGAAUUCAUAUAUAACUGAAUUCUUGUAUAUAAUUGAAUUUGUGCAUGACUUGGAUCCGAACUCGUAUGUGGUCGAAAAUUUCUUGUAUGCUUCGAAUUCACUCUUAUAUAUGGCCGGAUCUUUGCACGAUUGAAUUCUUGCAUAUGCCUUGAACUCAAACUUUGAAUUCAAACUUGUAUAUAGUCGAGAGCUUUAUAUGCCUUGAAUUUGUACAUGUGAUUGAACCCUUGCAUAUGGUUGAACUUGUGAAUCCACAUGUUGAUAUGAUCGAGGCCUUAUAUUUGACUCCGCGACACUUAACUUGAUUUUCCCUUGGAUUUUCAUGCUCAAUUGCGCAUGUGAACUAUGCAAGAGGCGCUUGAUUUGCUUGGCUUAUAUAUUUGAUCUUCCUUUAAAUUGAACCGAGAAUGUCGUAUAGGUUUAAUUAGACCUUUAAUUGGAAAAUUCCAUUUUAUAGAAUUUCAAUUAAAGAUUCGCAAUUUCCCUUUUAGUCUUUCGAUUUAUGUAUCUCGAUUCUUGAUCUGACUGAGCUGUUGAUCUUUAUUGCAGAUUAGCUAUGUCGACGCUUUGGACCGGCUGGAGCGCGAAUUCCGACGGUUACAAGAGUUGAAGACUGCUGGUAGCUCAACGUACACAGCCAUUUGGAUGGAAUCUCGUCUACAAGCAUGGCACGACACUCGGGCUUCGGCUGGACUUGAGAUUCAAACGCAACAAAGUCGGGUGGAUCAAAUGGAGGCCUUGGCUAUCUUGGGGAUGGCGAAGGGUGACUUGGAGCGUUCACGAGUUGUGAUAUCCGGAAAAUUGGAGCUCUCGAAACAGAAGUUAGCCAAGAUCCAACAAGAGGCUGCGAAAACAUUAUCCCUCACCGAGGAAUCCUUCAAGGUUGCAUUGCAGUGUGAGCUUGAGCGAACUUAUACAGAGGAAUUGACUAAACUUGAACAGCAAGCCUGUAGUCACAAACUUCAUGUAGAUUGAUUGUAACUCUUGUACCUGCAAACUCAAUUUUAUUAAUAGAAAAUAUGUCUUUUUUUCAUUCA